GCUCCAAAACAAUCUUCGCGAAAUCGAGCUCUCAAGUAGUACUCUUCUAGUUGCAGAGCAGAGAGAGAGAGAACAUUUAGAGAGGGGAGAGAGAGAGAGAGAGAGAGGAGAGAGAAUGGCGAACGAAGCAGACAUGGGUAGCUGGACCGAUCUUCUCCAUUCAUCUUCGAAGCUUCUCGAACAAGCAGCUCCGUCAGCUCAGUUCCCUCCUCUUCAGAGGAACUUAGAUCAAUUGGAGGCAUUGUCGAAAAAGCUAAAGGCGAAAACCCUAAGAACUGAAGCUCCUACUCAAUCUAUUGCUGCCACGAGGCUAUUAGCUCGUGAAGGAAUAAAUGCAGAGCAGCUUGCUCGGGAUCUUAAAUCUUUUGAAUUAAAGACGACUUUUGAAGAUGUUUUCCCUGCUGAGGCAACAAGCGUGGAAGAGUAUCUGCAACAGGUACAUGAGAUGGCAAUGGUUUCAGCUAUUCAGGAAGCUCAGAAGGAUAACCUUAGAAGUUUUAAUGAUUAUAUGAUGACAGUUUUGGAGGAGGAUUGGCAAAAGGAAAAACGAGACUUUCUUCAAAGCAUGAGCCGAAUUUCUACAUUACCUAAAACCAAUUUGGGUGAUUCAAGUACCAGGGGGAUUCGUCCAAGUCAAAUUAUGUCUUUGACUUCAAGCCCACAGGUUUCAUCUGGUCAAUCUAGCAUGGAGCUUGCACCUCUAGCUAAUAAGCCUGUCCUUGAGAAAAAAGCUGCAGCCUAUGCUGAAGUUGUUAAGAAUCUCAAUAAUGCAAGAGAGCGUAGUUUUCCGUUUAAACCUGCUACAGUUUUCAAGGGUGCUUAUGAGAGUUUGGGCCUUGAUGCUUCUGGUGGGAAAUCAGUUAGCAUGCAGAAGAUAUGGCAUCUAAUUCAGACACUGAUGGGUGAGGGCCCAACUGUUCCAAGGGAUGUUUCGAAGAAAAUGUCUUUAGUAAUUGGUGCAAGGCGCCACCUCGAAUGGGGGCAUGAGAAAUAUAUCAUUGAUACAAUACAAAGUCAUCCUGCACAGGCUGCUCUUGGUGGGGCGGUUGGCAAUUUGCAAAGAAUACGUGCUUUCCUUCGGAUUCGUUUAAGGGAUUAUGGGGUUCUAGAUUUUGAUGCAGGGGAUGUUCGUCGGCAGCCUCCUGUUGAUACAACAUGGCAGCAGAUUUACUUUUGCUUGCGAACUGGGUAUUAUGAUGAAGCGAAAAAUGUUGCCUUAUCGUCUCGUGUUUCAAACCAAUUUGCUUCCCAGCUUUCAGAAUGGGUAACUACUGGAGGAAUGGUAUCACCAGAUUCUGCAGCUGCUGCUUCAGAAGAAUGUGAGAAGUUGUUAAGGAUGGGUGAUCGAGUUGGUCGACCUGCAUAUGACAAGAAAAAGUUGCUAUUAUAUGCUAUAGUAUCUGGUUCUCGCAGGCACAUUGACCGCCUGCUUAGAGAAAACCCUACACUUUUCAACACCAUAGAGGAUUUCUUGUGGUUCAAAUUGUCUUCUAUACGAGACUGUCCGGCAGGGUCUAGUUCUGUUGUCCUGAAUGAAGGAUAUUCACCCUACAGUUUGGAUGAUUUGCAGAUUUACCUAAAUAAAUUCGAGCCUUCAUAUUAUACUAAGAACGGCAAGGACCCUUUGGUAUAUCCAUAUGUUUUGCUCUUAAGCAUUCAGUUGCUACCAGCAGUCUUACAUUUGUCAAAGGAUAUGGGAGAUGAAGGAUAUAGUAUAGAUGCUGUGCAUAUAGCUGUUGUGCUGGCUGACCAUGGGGUCCUUUCUGUUAGUGCUGGAGCAGGCCAAAAACUGGGGGUCAUGGAUGCUUUUGCUGAGGCAGCUAGCAUAAUUAGGCAGUAUGGAUCAGUCUAUUUACGUCAUGGCAAUCUUUCAAUGGCAUUGGAAUAUUAUGCACAAGCUGCCGCUGCAGUGGGUGGUGGGCAGUUGUCAUGGAGCGGGAGAGGUAAUGUAGAUCAGGAAAGGCAGAAAAGCUUGAUGUUGAAGCAACUACUUACAGAGCUGUUGUUACGGGAUGGUGGAAUUUAUCUUUUACUUGGUCCAAGAGGUGCUGGAGAAGAAGCUGAACUGGGAAGGUUUUUGACUGAUGUAAAAACUAGACAACAGUUUCUGCUUGAAGCUGCUCGCCAGUGUCAGGAAGCUGGGCUUUAUGACAAGUCAAUAGAAGUUCAGAAAAGAGUUGGGGCAUUUGCGAUGGCAUUGGAUACAAUAAAUAAGUGCCUCUCUGAAGCAAUUUGUGCCUUAUCACGUGGUAGAUUGGAUGGUGAUAGCCGGACUGCUGGGCUAAUUCAUUCUGGGAAUGAGGUUUUGGAGACAUGCAAGUAUUAUCCGGAAGUCAGUCAUCAAGAGAGAGAACAAGUUUCGGAACAACAAACUGUGUUAAGUCAGCUUGAGGCCAUAUUGUCUAUCCAUAAAUUGGCGAGAGCGGGAUGUCAUUUAGAUGCACUGAGGGAGGUUGCAAAACUUCCUUUUCUUCCUUUAGAUCCACGAGCGCCUGAUAUUGCAAAUGAUGCGUUCCAAAAUUUGUCAGCCCAUGUCCAAGCUUGUGUGCCAGACGUUUUGAAGGUUGCUCUUCAUUGCUUGGACAAUCUCACAGAUUCAGAUGGAUCACUUCGUGCCUUGAGAACCAAGAUUGCGAAUUUCCUUGCCAACAAUUUGAAUAGGAACUGGCCUCGUGAUCUGUAUGAAAAGGUUGCUCGAAGCUUGUGAAACCAUGGCUUUUCCGGCUGUCUAGGUUGGUUACGCAUAUAUGGCUUUUGUACAAAACAGUCAACUUCGGCUAGUCUGUCCAUGAUGGCCAUUUUUGUUGGUGAGAUCUUUGUGGAAGAAACUACAU